UUGUAGGUGAUCUUAUCUUUUGAUACUAAGAUCUAGUUGAUUGUUCCCGACUCUGGUUAUUCACUUCCAUUUCAGAUCCACCACAUUUUUGGUGGUCAGCUCAAGCACUGCCAGGACAGCCUGUAUUCACUGAGAUAGUAAGGUCAAGGCUUCAAAAAUACCAAAGCCCAGCAGGGAGCUCUGAGCGUGUGAGAAGAGGCCUGUGUCAGGCAGAAAAGGAUGGGACCUCGUGUCACAGUCUUGCACAGCCACUGGAUGGGGCCAGCCCGAGAAGACCACGAUCUCAGCUCAAGAGUUGAGGCCAAUCGGAACCAGACACUGACUUGAGCUCCAAAGAGGAACAGCUGAUUCCUGAUGGUCUGUUUCCUCCUGGGUUUACUGCACAACAGAGCAAACUUACAAAAAUGGACAUGAGAUCACUUUACUGCUGAAAAUCUCCAUCUUUCCAUCACCCCUAGAAAACCAGCCAAACUGCUUCCAGUGUUGACCUCUCCAAGCCCAACCUCAUGUCCUAGCGGGCUCCUUCCUUCACUGGGCUUUCUGCUGUUUCCUGAACAUGUCAAGCUUGUUUCCAUCCCAUGAC